GCCUGGGUGGCUCAGUUGUUUAAGCGAUUGACUUUGGCUCAGGUCGUGAUCUCAUGGUGUGUGGGUUCGAACCCCUCCUCAGGCU
rnacentral:tRNA from 1 species